ensembl:lncRNA
AUGUGAUGCACACACAGCCCAUCGAGAAUCAGUCUGGAAAUGGCCAGGUGCACCUCUGUGAAAAGAAUCUGCCUGUCCUCAGGCAGCCCGCCUGCCCGCCCGCUCAUCCCCCACGCCACCAGGCAGCACUGCUCCGCGAUCGCACUGCUCAGCCCUGAAGAACAAGGCUUUUAUAUGCUGUGGUUAAUUAGCUCUGCCAAUAACUCCAGGCAAAGAAAAAAAAAAAAAAAAACUGGCACAAAAAGCUCCCACUGUACAAACAAAGAAUUUGGAAGGAGGGAAGCUGAUAAACAAUGCAUCCCAGGGAGGCCGGCAGGCACUGAACUCAGCCCAGCAAGCAGCAAGCACCAGGGCCUGGUGUCAGCCCUGGGGAAGGAGCAGCAGCUUCCUCCUGUCUGCAGGGCUGGGGAUUGAGAAUUAAAGCUACCAUUUGCUUCAGAGAGAUGCUGAGAGUUCCCAGUUCAUCCCACAGAGGAAGCAGGGCCUGCCUGCAUCCUGAGGAAGCCUGGGGUGCCCUGACAUCCAGGCCCUGAGCAUGGUGCCCACCAGCCACAGGGACAGCAGAUGCUGCAGGGAGCUCAGAGCUUGGGGCUGGCACUGGAAACACCAGAAAUACCCUGGGCUGAGCUGAGAGCGUGAGAUGUACACAUGGACCUUCCUUUCAACGCACCAGCUCCAUAGAGAAAUCAUCAGCUUGAAUCACCUAUUCCAAGUGGUACUCAGGACAGAACUCUCACAAGCAGGAUUGAUGACAUAUCAAGCAGGAUUGAUGGCAUAUCCAAAUCCAAAUUUGGAGUUUGGUUAUUGCCUUUAUCUGUCUACUGCAAGAAAAGGCCUCAUUCCUGUACCAGAGCAAAAGAAACUUUCCUUUUCUUUCCUUUAAACUACUGAUAGAGUCUGGUCUGAUGGCAUUCCACAUUUUAAC